GGAGUGGUGGCUUAGUGGUUAGAGAGCAGGGCAUUUGUAUCCUGGAGAGGCCACAAGUACAUUGGUUCGAAUCCCACACCGUGCCACUCUG